GGGCCUCUAGCUCAGUUGGUUAGAGCAACGGACUUUUAAUCCGUGGGUCGUCGGUUCGAUCCCGACGGGGCCUACCA
rnacentral:tRNA from 6 species